rnacentral:rRNA from 1 species
AGUUGUAUCCUGGCUCANGAUGAACGCUAGCGGCAGGCUUAACACAUGCAAGUCGAGGGGUAACAGGAGUAGCUUGCUACUUGCUGACGACCGGCGCACGGGUGCGUAACGCGUAUAGAAUCUACCUUGUACUAGGGGAUAGCCUUUGGAAACGAAGAUUAAUACCCUAUAGUAAGUAUUUAUGGCAUCAUUUAUACUUUAAAGGUUACGGUACAAGAUGACUAUGCGUCCUAUUAGUUUGUUGGUAAGGUAACGGCUUACCAAGACUUCGAUAGGUAGGGGCCCUGAGAGGGGGAUCCCCCACACUGGUACUGAGACACGGACCAGACUCCUACGGGAGGCAGCAGUGAGGAAUAUUGGACAAUGGAGGCAACUCUGAUCCAGCCAUGCCGCGUGCAGGAUGACGGCCCUAUGGGUUGUAAACUGCUUUUAUGUAGGAAGAAACACUCUCACGUGUGAGAGCUUGACGGUACUACAAGAAUAAGGACCGGCUAACUCCGUGCCAGCAGCCGCGGUAAUACGGAGGGUCCAAGCGUUAUCCGGAAUCAUUGGGUUUAAAGGGUCCGUAGGCGGGCUAUUAAGUCAGAGGUGAAAGUUUGCAGCUCAACUGUAAAAUUGCCUUUGAAACUGGUAGUCUUGAAUUAUUAUGAAGUGGUUAGAAUAAGUAGUGUAGCGGUGAAAUGCAUAGAUAUUACUUAGAAUACCAAUUGCGAAGGCAGAUCACUAAUAAUAUAUUGACGCUGAGGGACGAAAGCGUGGGGAGCGAACAGGAUUAGAUACCCCUGGUAGUCCACGCCGUAAACGAUGGAUACUAGCUGUUCGGAUUUAUCUGA